AUUGAACGCUGGCGGAAUGCUUUACACAUGCAAGUCGAACGGCAGCACGGACUUCGGUCUGGUGGCGAGUGGCGAACGGGUGAGUAAUGCAUCGGAACGUGCCCAAUCGUGGGGGAUAACGUAGCGAAAGUUACGCUAAUACCGCAUACGAUCUAAGGAUGAAAGCGGGGGAUCGCAAGGCCUCGCGCGAAUGGAGCGGCCGAUGUUAGAUUAGGUAGUUGGUGGGGUAAAGGCUCACCAAGCCGACGAUCUAUAGCUGGUCUGAGAGGAUGAUCAGCCACACUGGGACUGAGACACGGCCCAGACUCCUACGGGAGGCAGCAGUGGGGAAUUUUGGACAAUGGGCGCAAGCCUGAUCCAGCCAUUCCGCGUGCAGGAUGAAGGCCCUCGGGUUGUAAACUGCUUUUGUACAGAACGAAAAGCUCUGGGUUAAUACCCUGGGGUCAUGACGGUACUGUAAGAAUAAGCACCGGCUAACUACGUGCCAGCCGCCGCAGUAACAC
rnacentral:rRNA from 1 species